AUGGAGUCCAUGACAAGUGGUGCUCUAAGUAUUGGGUCAACUACGGCAAUGGGAGUUGAAGAUGAUGCCAACAGCUUUGCCAUGGGCACGAUCCAGCAGGUCGAAAACAAUGAAAAUAGCUACCACACGCCAACACGAACUAACAGUCUUCCGUUUUGUGGGUCAAGAUAUGAGCCGGAGUGUGAUCCUAACUUACAGCCCGUAAUUGGUAUGCAAUUUGACACUUGGGAGGAAGGUAUGACAUUCUACAAAAUGUAUGCUCAUGAAGUCGGGUUCUCGGUUCGCACAUGGACGACACACAAAGAUGCACAUGGCAUACUGUGGAAGAGGUUUGUUUGUGCUAGGGAGGGUUGGAGAAAGGAGGCCCCAGAAGAGGAAAGGAUAAAACCUAAACGAAAAUUCAAGUUAACCAGGUGUGGUUGUGAGGCUAUGAUUGGACUGAGGAGGCAGGAUGAUGGCAAAUAUAAGGUUGCCCGGUUUGUUCAAUCACACAUUCACCAACUUAUUUCGCCAAGUAAGAGACAUCUCAUCAAGUCAAAUAGGGAAGUAAGUAGUGAGUUGAGGAGCAAACUACUUACAUGUCAUAAAGCAAUGGUUGGCACAUCUGCAGCAUAUCGCUUGCUUAGUGUAGAGACGGGGGGUCCGGAAAAUGUGGGCUGCACGUCAGCUUAG
rnacentral:rRNA from 1 species